UCCACUUUUACGUCCAAAAUUAUGUUUAUUAUUCAACUAUGUGGUUUUUAUAAAAGGAUCAUGCAUGUAAAAUAGGUAAAAUGAGCAUUAUCCUUUUAUGGCUUUAUGUGUAGUUAAGAAUAAUUGCAUGUUAUGUGUAACUGUUAUUAUGUGUGCAUGGCCCAUGCACACGUGAGUUGUAUGGAAGGGCAAAAUAGUAAUUUUAUGAACCUAAGAAGUGUUGUUUUGAUUAUGAUAUAGGCUCGUUGAAAGAUUGUGAAAAUUUCUUAGCUUGGACCUGAGGUAGCAAAUAGGAUUUCUUUAUGGCACGCGUGGUGACAUGAGGAGUUCUAUCAUCAUGGGGUGUAUGGCGUGGGGUAAUCCUAUGGACGGAAAAACGAUCAUCGUAGAACGCCAUUUAAAUUAUGUUUUGUUUUAAGAGACUUUCCUAAAUUAUCAGUGGGACUCAGUUAUUUAAUUUUGUUUCUUUUAAACUUUGCAUAAAAAUUUAUGUUUUCUUUUAAAACUAAUGGCGCCAACUUGCAUGGUUUUAAGCAAGUCCCCACUAAGACUUUGAUAAUGAGUGGUAUUCUUUUAUAAACUAUGUUAUGCGAAUGUUUUAUAAGUAUUA